AAAGGGUCGAAGGCGAGGAAUGCAUACGGGUUUAAGCUGUGGUAUUCUAGGGUCGUGAGAGGUAAGAAUGGAGUGGGCAUCUUGGUAGAUAGGGAUCUAAGAGAGUCCGUGGUCGAGGUUAGGGGGUCGAAGGCGAGGAAUGUAGAUGGGCUUAAGCUAUGGUAUUAUGGGGUCGUGAGGGGUAAGAAUGGAGUGGGCAUCUUGGUGAUAGGGACCUAAGGGAGUCCGUGGUCGAGAUUAGGCGAGUGAAUGAUAGGUUAAUGUCUAUUAAGUUGGUUAUUGGGGUUGCGUCCUCAACGUCAUCAGCGCUUACGCGCCGCAAGCGGGCUUACACGAGGAGGCUAAAAGGCGCUUUUG
rnacentral:lncRNA from 1 species